AUUGAACGCUGGCGGCAGGCCUAACACAUGCAAGUCGAACGGUAGCACAGAGAGCUUGCUCUCGGGUGACGAGUGGCGGACGGGUGAGUAAUGUCUGGGAAACUGCCCGAUGGAGGGGGAUAACUACUGGAAACGGUAACUAAUACCGCAUAACGUCGCAAGACCAAAGUGGGGGACCUUCGGGCCUCUCACCAUCGGAUGUGCCCAGAUGGGAUUAGCUAGUAGGUGGGGUAAUGGCUCACCUAGGCGACGAUCCCUAGCUGGUCUGAGAGGAUGACCAGCCACACUGGAACUGAGACACGGGCCAGACUCCUACGGGAGGCAGCAGUGGGGAAUAUUGCACAAUGGGCGCAAGCCUGAUGCAGCCAUGCCGCGUGUAUGAAGAAGGCCUUCGGGUUGUAAAGUACUUUCAGCGGGGAGGAAGGCGGUGAAGUUAAUAACUUCACCGAUUGACGUUACCCGCAGAAGAAGCACCGGCUAACUCCGUGCCAGCCGCCGCCGUAA
rnacentral:rRNA from 1 species